rnacentral:rRNA from 1 species
UGCAUGGAGCCGACCUUGAAAUACCACCCUUUAAUGUUUGAUGUUCUAACGUUGACCCGUAAUCCGGGUUGCGGACAGUGUCUGGUGGGUAGUUUGACUGGGGCGGUCUCCUCCUAAAGAGUAACGGAGGAGCACGAAGGUUGGCUAAUCCUGGUCGGACAUCAGGAGGUUAGUGCAAUGGCAUAAGCCAGCUUGACUGCGAGCGUGACGGCGCGAGCAGGUGCGAAAGCAGGUCAUAGUGAUCCGGUGGUUCUGAAUGGAAGGGCCAUCGCUCAACGGAUAAAAGGUACUCCGGGGAUAACAGGCUGAUACCGCCCAAGAGUUCAUAUCGACGGCGGUGUUUGGCACCUCGAUGUCGGCUCAUCACAUCCUGGGGCUGAAGUAGGUCCCAAGGGUAUGGCUGUUCGCCAUUUAAAGUGGUACGCGAGCUGGGUUUAGAACGUCGUGAGACAGUUCGGUCCCUAUCUGCCGUGGGCGCUGGAGAACUGAGGGGGGCUGCUCCUAGUACGAGAGGACCGGAGUGGACGCAUCACUGGUGUUCGGGUUGUCAUGCCAAUGGCACUGCCCGGUAGCUAAAUGCGGAAGAGAUAAGUGCUGAAAGCAUCUAAGCACGAAACUUGCCCCGAGAUGAGUUCUCCCUGACUCCUUGAGAGUCCUGAAGGAACGUUGAAGACGACGACGUUGAUAGGCCGGGUGUGUAAGCGCAGCGAUGCGUUGAGCUAACCGGUACUAAUGAACCGUGAGG